CGAGCAGAGCAACGGGAUUGCCCUAGUAACGGCGAGUGAAGCGGCAACAGCUCAAAUUUGAAAUCUGAUCUCUUCGAGGUCCGAGUUGUAAUUUGUAGAGGGCGCUUUGGUGUUGGCUGCGGUCUAAGUUCCUUGGAACAGGACGUCAUAGAGGGUGAGAAUCCCGUCUGUGGUCGCGUGUCUUCACCGUGUAAAGCCCCUUCGACGAGUCGAGUUGUUUGGGAAUGCAGCUCUAAAUGGGAGGUAAAUUUCUUCUAAAGCUAAAUACUGGCCAGAGACCGAUAGCGCACAAGUAGAGUGAUCGAAAGAUGAAAAGCACUUUGGAAAGAGAGUCAAACAGCACGUGAAAUUGUUGAAAGGGAAGCGCUUGCAGCCAGACUUGCUUGCAGUUGCUCAUCCGGGCGCUCGCCCGGUGCACUCUUCUGUAGGCAGGCCAGCAUCAGUUUGGGCGGUUGGAUAAAGGCCUCUGUCAUGUAUCUUCUCCGGAAGACCUUAUAGGGGAGGCGUAAUGCAACCAGCCUGGACUGAGGUCCGCGCAUCUGCUAGGAUGCUGGCGUAAUGGCUGUAAGCGGCCCGUCUUGAAACACGGACCAAGGAGUCUAACAUCUAUGCGAGUGUUUGGGUGUCAAGCCCGAGCGCGCAAUGAAAGUGAACGGAGGUGGGAACCCUCGGGUGCACCAUCGACCGAUCCUGAAGUCUUCGGAUGGAUUUGAGUAAGAGCAUAGCUGUUGGGACCCGAAAGAUGGUGAACUAUGCUUGAAUAGGGUGAAGCCAGAGGAAACUCUGGUGGAGGCUCGCAGCGGUUCUGACGUGCAAAUCGAUCGUCAAAUUUGGGCAUAGGGGCGAAAGACUAAUCGACAUCAGCCUG
rnacentral:rRNA from 1 species